rnacentral:lncRNA from 1 species
UCAAAUAGAUCCUUAUGGGUAUAUAAAAUAAUAAAAAUAAAUACAUACCAAAAUUACGAUCAUAAAUAAAAUUAUGAUAACCCACAUAGCGCUAUAGAGAAGAAAUUCUUUAUCAAUCUGCGGAAGCAAUAAGUCCGGUUAUAACCUAAACGUCAACAACCGAACUUAGAUAAUUUAGUUUUUCCUUCUUUCUCAGACACUCUCUCGUAUGGUAUGGAACUGAUGGUAGUUCUUCAUCAGAAUCCGUAUGAGAAGGUGGAAGGACCAACACCCCUUUAUGUAGAGUCCAGAUUGACUUUCCAUCAAAGUCUGACUAAGAUUUUAUUUAAUUUAAAUAGAUAGGAAAGGGAUAAGAUAUACUAUAUCAAGUAGUUCUAUAUCUAUUAGGAUUGACCUUUAUAUAUAGUAAAUCCAAAUUAAUUAUGAUUAAUUGGGCCACAAUUUUGAAAAUCCUAACAAUUUCCCACUUAGCUCAAAUUAAUCAUAUUUCUUGAACGAAUUUUCUAGACCCCAAAUUUUAUUGUGCAUUAUUAAAAACUUUAUGGUCAAAUAUCUUAAAACUCACUUGAUUUUUAGCUCAAACUAAAAGACUACAAUAAUAGAAACUUUAGCGGUCCACCUCUUCUUUUUUUUCUUCUUUUUUUUUUUUGAGAGAGAGAUAGGUAGCGUGCUACCCGCUUCGUUUAUUUUAUUUAGAAAUAAACUUAGCUGGAAAUGUGAAUCAACUAGGAUUCAAACUUGGGACAUCGGGUACCAACCACCAAGUCCUUUGCCACUUGCUCUAGGGACGGUCGGUGCGGUCCACCUCUUUAUAUUGAAAUUUUCAUUCUAUAAUUACCAUAUCAUCUUCAUCUCCUAGCCAAGUACUUUAUAUAGCACAAUUUAUAUGAAUGAACUUAAACUAUAUGUCCAUUUGUUAACAGAUAAAACUUUAUAUCUAUCAAAUGGUUCAACACAACUGUAUUAAAACUUUAACUUUAUUAAAAGAAGAUAGAAUAUUAUAAUCUUAUACAUCAAAA